rnacentral:lncRNA from 1 species
GCCCUGAGCAAAGGCUAAUUUUGCCUAGUCGUCCAGCUCAAUGAUCUUCACGACAGAGGAAUCUCCCACUUUCUGGCACACAACAACACGGUCAUGCGAUUUGAUCACACCGGAUGCUUUGCCAUGGUCAAGAGCAACCUUCAACACAGAUUCAUUUGUAGUACUAGUAGAUUCAGCCUUCAGGGCAGAGAAGGAAUGUCAGUAGAAAUCACCAGCCACACCGAGCAUCUUACUAGUUGGGUCCAAAAUCAAGGAAUUCUAGCUACCAAAUAAUUUAAGGUAGAUGCAAGAUGAAACACCUCCAAACAUCAGCCUCACUGGUGCACACCAGCUUAUAAAGCUCACAUAUUGCAUUUAUAGUACAAAGAAUCAACAAACCAGCCUAACAGUUCGGAAGUGAACUGCAGUCUACUGUUUAUUGCUUCGAAACCAUCCCUAAUAGCUAAUUUGUUAAGAGUGAUAGUACAACAUGAUGCAAGCAAAAUUAAGUAGGAUUAGUAGGUUCGCUUGUAUGUAAAGCAUUCAAUUUUUCACAUAUUGUGUAUAUGCACUAACGGCAACUACCAUUAUUCCAUUUAUGUUCAGAACAAGGACGUUCAUAUUUAUAGGUAGUUUAUAUUUUUCGUAUUAUACAUACUGGGUCAUGAAUUCUAAAAUUUAAAAGAACCACCAAAUUAUGGUUUACAAAAAUAUGAUUAAAUUAAUGUAGCCAACAGAUGAAAGGCAGGUUAACUCACGGGGUGACGUGGAUCAGCAAGCAUGGGAAAGAGGCCUCUA